rnacentral:ncRNA from 1 species
AAAGAUGGUUCUACUUUUCCUUUUCCGCAUAAGUGAAUGAUUUGGAAGUGUUUUAAUAAUUCAUCUAAACUUUCACGCACUGCACUAUUUACAGCAACAGCACCUAAACUUCCUCCGAUUACUAAAAUAACAGGUUUGUCAGAGGUG